UUGGACAUAUUCCACUACCUUGUAAAUUCAAUGAUAAAGAGAAGAUUAGCAUGACCUCUGAACAAGGAUGGCCAGGGUAAUUUGUAAAUCUGUGAAGUGUUC
rnacentral:snRNA from 1 species